rnacentral:rRNA from 1 species
AACGAACGCUGGCGGCAGGCUUAACACAUGCAAGUCGAGCGCCCCGCAAGGGAGCGGCAGACGGGUGAGUAACGCGUGGGAAUCUACCUAUCACUACGGAACAACUCCGGGAAACUGGAGCUAAUACCGUAUACGUCCGAGAGGAGAAAGAUUUAUCGGUGAUAGAUGAGCCCGCGUUGGAUUAGCUAGUUGGUGGGGUAAUGGCCUACCAAGGCGACGAUCCAUAGCUGGUCUGAGAGGAUGAUCAGCCACACUGGGACUGAGACACGGCCCAGACUCCUACGGGAGGCAGCAGUGGGGAAUAUUGGACAAUGGGCGAAAGCCUGAUCCAGCCAUGCCGCGUGAGUGAUGAAGGCCUUAGGGUUGUAAAGCUCUUUCACCGGUGAAGAUAAUGACGGUAACCGGAGAAGAAGCCCCGGCUAACUUCGUGCCAGCAGCCGCGGUAAU